GAUUUAUAAGGUUGCAUCCAUAUCACUCAGUCCCAAUGUGCCUGCACAGAUAUUUAUGGCUUUGAUGGUCAACCCGCCUAAACCUGGAGAUAUUUCAUACGAGCAGUAUAUUAGGGAGAGGUAUGACAGCUAAAAUUUGGUUCCUUACGAGUCUGUGAUUGCUUCAUCAUGUUUUGAAUUUAAAUCAGUGCUAAAAUCUGAUAUGGCUAU
rnacentral:misc_RNA from 1 species